rnacentral:rRNA from 1 species
GAGUUUGAUCAUGGCUCAGGAUAAACGCUGGCGGCGUGCAUGAGACAUGCAAGUCGAACGGACGAUCGGGGUUCGCUCUGAUCGUUAGUGGCGGACGGCUGAGUAACGCGUGGGUGACCUGCCCCGAAGUGGGGAAUAACUGCCCGAAAGGGUGGCUAAUACCGCAUGUGAUGGUGUGUUCGAUCAUGCCAUCAAAGCCGUAAGGCGCUUCGGGAGGGGCCUGCGUCCGAUUAGCUCGUUGGUGGGGUAACGGCUCACCAAGGCGACGAUCGGUAGGUGGUCUGAGAGGACGAUCACCCAGACUGGGACUGAGACACGGCCCAGACUCCUACGGGAGGCAGCAGUCGGGAAUUUUGCGCAAUGGACGAAAGUCUGACGCAGCAACGCCGCGUGAGGGAUGAAGGCC